rnacentral:rRNA from 1 species
AGAGUUUGAUCCUGGCUCAGGACGAACGCUGGCGGCGCGCCUAACACAUGCAAGUCGAACGAGCGAGAGAGAGCUUGCUUUCUCGAGCGAGUGGCGAACGGGUGAGUAACGCGUGAGGAACCUGCCUCAAAGAGGGGGACAACAGUUGGAAACGACUGCUAAUACCGCAUAAGCCCACAGCUCGGCAUCGAGCAGAGGGAAAAGGAGCAAUCCGCUUUGAGAUGGCCUCGCGUCCGAUUAGCUAGUUGGUGAGGUAACGGCCCACCAAGGCGACGAUCGGUAGCCGGACUGAGAGGUUGAACGGCCACAUUGGGACUGAGACACGGCCCAGACUCCUACGGGAGGCAGCAGUGGGGAAUAUUGCACAAUGGGGGAAACCCUGAUGCAGCGACGCCGCGUGGAGGAAGAAGGUCUUCGGAUUGUAAACUCCUGUUGUUGAGGAAGAUAAUGACGGUACUCAACAAGGAAGUGACGGCUAACUACGUGCCAGCAGCCGCGGUAAAACGUAGGUCACAAGCGUUGUCCGGAAUUACUGGGUGUAAAGGGAGCGCAGGCGGGAAGGCAAGUUGGAAGUGAAAUCCAUGGGCUCAACCCAUGAACUGCUUUCAAAACUGUUUUUCUUGAGUAGUGCAGAGGUAGGCGGAAUUCCCGGUGUAGCGGUGGAAUGCGUAGAUAUCGGGAGGAACACCAGUGGCGAAGGCGGCCUACUGGGCACCAACUGACGCUGAGGCUCGAAAGUGUGGGUAGCAAACAGGAUUAGAUACCCUGGUAGUCCACACUGUAAACGAUGAUUACUAGGUGUUGGAGGAUUGACCCCUUCAGUGCCGCAGUUAACACAAUAAGUAAUCCACCUGGGGAGUACGACCGCAAGGUUGAAACUCAAAGGAAUUGACGGGGGCCCGCACAAGCAGUGGAGUAUGUGGUUUAAUUCGACGCAACGCGAAGAACCUUACCAAGUCUUGACAUCCUGCGACGCACAUAGAAAUAUGUGUUUCCUUCGGGACGCAGAGACAGGUGGUGCAUGGUUGUCGUCAGCUCGUGUCGUGAGAUGUUGGGUUAAGUCCCGCAACGAGCGCAACCCUUAUGGUCAGUUACUACGCAAGAGGACUCUGGCCAGACUGCCGUUGACAAAACGGAGGAAGGUGGGGAUGACGUCAAAUCAUCAUGCCCUUUAUGACUUGGGCUACACACGUACUACAAUGGCGUUAAACGAAGAGAAGCAAGACCGCGAGGUGGAGCAAAACUCAGAAACAACGUCCCAGUUCGGACUGCAGGCUGCAACUCGCCUGCACGAAGUCGGAAUUGCUAGUAAUCGCAGAUCAGCAUGCUGCGGUGAGUACGUUCCCGGGCCAUUGUACACACCGCCCGUC